GCUGGUGAGAAAAGGCUACGAAGCCGCUGCGACGGUGGCGCAGACAAACGCCGCGCAGAGGAGGCUUUGUUGGGAAAGGGGGGAAUCCCCGCCGCCCCCGCCCUACCCCUGCCUAAGCUCUGUCCGCUCCGAGCCCUUACCGGAGCGGGUCCGGCCAUGGCCAGCGCGGACGCGCCUAGCCUGAGCUUUGUCCCCGGCGACGCCCACGUUCCCCGGCGACAAAGGAGUGACAAAGAGAACACAGAGUAGAGAGAAGGCUGAGACCUCCAGAACGGCUUAGAGACAAGCACUGGGCGCACAGGGUCCAUCUUUGCAAUGGGCUCUGGAGUCAAGACGGGGAGAUGAGCACUAAGACUGACAAGAAAAUGACCAGAAAAGGGGCCUCCCCUCGGAACAGGUUACCACUAAGGGAUACACCUGGCAGGGCCAGAGGCAUGAUGUCACCAUGUAGCUCUGGCUGUUCUUAACGAUGUAUUCCAGGCUGGCCUUAAAUUUCAACAUCCACCUGCCUCUGCCUCCCUGGUGCUAUUAAAGGCAUGCGCUACCA